UAAAACCCUAGCUUAGAUAUUUUCCUCUUCGUUCUCUUACUCCUCUCUUCUCAAACACAUCUUCUGUAAAUCUCUUCACUCGAUUCAUAUUAUUGAAACCAUGAAUCGGAUAUAUGUUCGUAGCAAAUUAAUUAAAAUUAUCUUUCCUAACCUAUAUUUUGUAAACCAAAUCCAUCUUCAGAAACCAAACCCAAUAUUUCAAUAAUCCAAAUCUCUUAUUGAACCCCAGAAGUUUGAUUUUCUCCGACAUAAUUCCUAGCAACUUAAUAUCUUAUUUCUCUGCACGAAAUAUUACAGACCAGUCCAAGAAAAUGAGUUUAGUAAACCCUAGUUUCUUUGUUUAUGGCGAUGUUGUGAGUGUAUAUAGUGAAAAUAAAUCAAGGAUUCACAAUUUUUAUGUUUCUUUGUUUGAUUUCAUGGAGUUUAAAUCAUGGGUUUGGUUUUAAUUUCAGUUUUAUGAUCUCAAUUUUGAGUUAGGUUACUAUAUUUAUGUACAUCUGGUUGUAUUGAUUUUCUAGGGUUUAUUUUUGUUUUGAUUUGGUUUGUCUUAACAGUAUUCCAUCAUUUAGAUCUGAAAUUUGUUGGAUUUAUAAUGAGUUUGGUGUGUGAUUUUUUCAGGCUAAGUAGAUUAUUCGAAAGCAGAGAAGCAGGAACAAUCAUAUUUUGGGGUGCUCAAGCACAACAACUUCAUGUAGGGUCUGUGGAGGAACACUUGAGAAUUUUUAAAUCUCUGCUGAUUCUCAACCAAAAGAGAAGACAUCAAUGACGUUGAUGGUGCUGAAUAAAAGCUUCAUGAAUGGGAGCCAUCUAAAUGACAUUUAUUAGACUACGAAGUGGUGAGAACUUGGGGUUUCACAACAUGCAAGCUUGUAUUAAAAUGGUGCAGGCAUUUAUGUUAGCAUCUCUCCUUUAGCUCACAUCAAGCUUGGAUUUUAUCAUGUAUUGGGUACCUCCAAUGUAAACGAAGGAUUGUGCGGUCACUUAACUAAGUGUGAUUGCAUCUCUGGAGAUAAGUCCCAAUGGAAGUAUUAGUUAGCAGGAUCUUCGAGCAUUUCUGAAAUGGGAUGUUGUCCAUCUCGAUUUUCCAUGCCCCUCCAACUGAUAAGUUGGAGACUACAUGAUCCCACUAUAGUCAGUUCCAGCUGAAGGGAUUGCUCUCCUCAUUUAUGGCACCAAACCACCACAUAGCCCUUUGCUAGUUGGGUACUUCAGUGAGUUACGCAACUUGCUAAAGGUGUAUCAUGGUUAUGAUCAUAAGUUGUAGUUUAGCUUAUGCUGGGGAAGACAGUCCUACUGAUAAACUAUGUCCAAGGCCGUGGAGAUGUAUUCCUCCAUCUAGUUGACUUGAUUUAUAAUCAAUUAUGUUUUUGACUUGUUAUUUGCGGUUAGAAAGAUCUUCAGAUUCUCAUGUUACUACGAUUUUGAGGAUACACUCUUGUGAAGAACUUAAAGGGCCUGUUUCAAAGCUUUGGGUUUGACGCAUAUCCAGUAGUCAUUAGCCUUAUCAUCUUUCAGGUGUUGAUGGUAAGAAAGGUGGUGGUGGGCAUCAAGCGAACCUUACCCCUUGGAAGGAAAGACCCUGCAAGUGGAGGCAUCAGGUCAAAAAAAACUCCAAAAUCUACACUUCAGUGGUGAUUAUUUUGCAGAGUAAGGCUAACCCCUAUGGGCUAGAUUGAACUGCUAGAUUGGCCAAAAAGUGUUGCAAAUCAAGAAAAAAAUGUGGGGAAAAAGUUAAUACUACUUCUGGAUACUUCUCUCUCCUAGCAACUGCUCGCAGUCCAAGUAGCAGCGAGAUUGAAACGCGCUCUAAAAAUAAUUUUAUGCUGAACCGUUCAGCGCUCAUAUUUUUUGUUAUAGUAUCAUAUUCCGAUGGUGUACAAUACUAGCUGAUUCAUUUUCUCACUCUAGGUCAUGUCCUAUUCGUACACUAAAAAAUUUUGAUACAUUUUCCCACUCUCUGUCCACCUAAGCUUCAAUUCUUAUAGUCCUCCCUAAUUACACUGUCCUCUCUGCAAUUCUGUCCCCACAUCCUCCUCGAUCCGCAAAUAUAAAAUCACAGUUCUUCAAUGCAAUGGAAGAGUACGAACACCUCGGGUGAAGAAAAGCAUAUUUUUGUGCUGUUUUCUGCACGAAAAUGAUAAUGGUUCGGUGUUGUCAUUGUUUUGUUCAAAACGCUGUAUCCUUCAGCGUUGGACGAUGUACUGUUCAGCGCCACACCAUAGGAUUUAGGAGGUUGACCAAUCUAACUGCUGCUAGAUAUAUCUAGUCCAGGGGUUAGCCUAAGAAAAAGACAUUCAUUGAUCACGUGUUGUCUUUUUUUAUCCCUCAUGUUAGGGCCACAAUCACUGGGUUGCAUUUCUUUAAUCUGUAAUUUAUUUAUCUUUCAGAUUUGAAACCUUGAUGUUGUAAAGUAAAUUCAGUUAUAAA